CUCUUCUAUCUCUGAUCCAUCUCCUCCAUCUCUCUCAUUCUCCUCCAUCUCUCUCCCUCUCCCUCUAAUAGCGCAUGCAUCUCCCUCUCCCUCAAACAGCCCACGCAUCUCCCUCUCCCUAGGGUUUUGGUGAACCCCUUACCUAGGGUUUUCUCAUUCUAGCUCACGGCUAGAAGGAGGGGCAACCACUCUAGUUUAUUCCUCAGCUGGGAGGUAGCAACAAUGAUUUCAUCUCUGUCGAGCUCCGUCAAUGUGCAUGAGAAGGGUAAUUUGAUUUUGCAUAUGACAUACGAGGAGGAAGCGCAGAAUGCGGUGGCGGAGCGCGGCCUCGCACCUUCGGUAGCAGUGAAACGGAGAUUGGAAGUUGCAAUAUGAGAUAUGGUUGCAAUAGCAAAGAUAAUGAAUGCAACAUUGGUCCUUCCUUCUCUUGAUCACAAGUCCUUUUCGAUAGAUCCGAGGGUAGUGUAGAAUGUGGUUAUCCCAUUUGACAGUUGUAGAUGCAGCCAUUACGAACUUUAUGCAAUCCUUUGUACUGCUACAUAUAUCUUCAUUAUUUAAUUUUCAUUGAUAUCUACGAGCAUGGUUUGGACUGCAGUUUGUCUGUCAAAGCUUGAGUUCUGAGGUUGCGGUGGAAUGAAAUGUCAGGUUUCUUUUGGGAAAAAUUUCCAUUCAUUUUUUGGGAAAUGGUGGAAAAGGAAAUCGAUUUCCACACCUAUUUUUGCUUUUGUAAUCACAGGAAAACAUCACAUCUAUGGAAAUUGAUUUCAUUUCCACUGUUUUCUAGAGUUCUCCACCAAUCCAAACUGUUGGAAGGAAUAGAAAAAGCAGCAUGGAAAAAGGGUGGUGAUGUCAAAAUGGCAGAUGACACAACGUCAAAGACCAAAAAGAAGGCGGUAAUUUUCUUGACUAUGUGGCUUUGAUACUUUUUUCAGCUCUAUAUUACAAAACCUGACAGCCAUGUACUAAAUUGAUAGAGCCUAAAACACUUGCAACGCUUAGUGCCUAGACUUCUAGAUCAAAAACCCUAUUUGUUGGCAACCUAUCCUAUUAUGUCGAAAGAGCUUAUGUGUAAAUAUCAUUUAAUACCAGAGAACUACUCUUGUGAUAAGAUUUUAAUUUCUCAAUGUGUAU